UAGGGAAUCUUCCACAAUGGGCGCAAGCCUGAUGGAGCAACGCCGCGUGAGUGAAGAAGGUCUUCGGAUCGUAAAACUCUGUUGUUAGAGAAGAACAUGCAGGAGAGUAACUGUUCAUUCGAUGACGGUAUCUAACCAGAAAGCCACGGCUAACUACGUGCCAG
rnacentral:rRNA from 1 species